UUGUUGCAGAACUGUCGCACAGUUCCUUUGCCUCAGCGACAUGCAGAGACAAGCAGCUCCAUCACGACAUCACUCCACAUAUUCAGCUGACCAGCCCAUUCGGCCGCCUGCCGCUUCGUGGAAAGCUCAGUGUGGGGAACGCUCCAUCUCAGAAAGGGUGUCCUUCCUCGGCGUCCCCAGCAAGCCCGCCUUCCAGCUGCGCCCUGGUGCCUGCGGCUGCUGGCAGGACCUGGUGGGACUAGGGAUGAGGGAAAGGUGUGCCUGUCUCUCGCAAAGAGAGGGAAGAAUGAUGGUCAAAGAUCGGCGGGACUUCCUUGCACACAUUUAGGGAUUCCCAUACCGACUACCUUCAUCCCACUCCGGGGCCUUCGCUUCAGGAUGGAACUGAGCGGCUGGCCAGGGAUGAUGAAGGCCAUCACAGUGAACAGACAGAGCCCGCAGCCCCGCCACGAGUCAGCAGGCACAAAAUGCUAACUUCUGAGCCCACCUGUACUCUACUGUAAUGAAAGCCUGGCCUAAGGAGAGAGAUCAAAUCUUGCACGUGGAGGCUCACGCCCCCCUAAAUGCAAACAUCACUGUGGUGCGAUGGCCCUGAAGGAGGAGUGACCCAAAGCCAGGCCAGCGGAACAGGGUGUGAAAAUAAUCAUAAAAGGAGUCGCUUUAAAAUGGAGCUGCCCCGGAGGCGCCGCCGGGCAGUCUCAUGCCUCCAACCUUCCAAAAUGCUGACAGUCUACGCCAAGCUCUUCCCUGACCAAACAGAGUGAGAAAUGAAUGCAGCGCUAGCCAGUUUGGCUCAGUGGAUAGAGCGUCCGUCCGCCUGCGGACUGAAAGGUCCCGUGUUCGAUUCCCAUCAAGGGCAUG